rnacentral:rRNA from 1 species
UACAGAGGGGGCAAGCGUUGUUCGGAAUUACUGGGCGUAAAGGGCGCGUAGGCGGCCCGCUAAGUCGCCCGUGAAAUCCCCGGGCUCAACCCGGGAACUGCGUCCGAUACUGGUGGGCUUGAAUCCGGGAGAGGGAUGCGGAAUUCCAGGUGUAGCGGUGAAAUGCGUAGAUAUCUGGAGGAACACCGGUGGCGAAGGCGGCAUCCUGGACCGGUAUUGACGCUGAGGCGCGAAAGCUAGGGGAGCAAACGGG